rnacentral:lncRNA from 1 species
ACCAUAGUAGGGGCAAGACCAAAAUCGUCUUCCGGGAUUCGACUUCGACCAAGAAGUCUGCAUAUGCAACAAACUUCCAUGUUUGCAUCGUACUAUGGUUUUGAGCAUUGGGUCUGAUUCUUCCAUGCAUAGCUUAUUCAAUUUUGCGUUUGACAUUACUAACCCUAAUAACACAAAGUGAAAAAACAAAAUCAAGCUGUCGAAUUGGGGAAGAUUUUGAUUGUUCAAUAUGAAAUUCGAGAAAAUUGCAAACCCUAAAUUCAAUCUUAGUUGGAGAAGAUACAACAACUAAAUUCAAGCUUUGAAAAUGGUGGAUGAAGAACAAAGAAGAGAGAGAGCUUUUGUUCAAGAACAAAAGAGAUGGAGAUAAAUGAGUUGAGAAAAGAAUGAAAAAUAAAUGUAUGGGUUAAAUAAAGAGUAAAGUUACCGUUGGGAGGAUUAUUUGGACUCCACAUGGACAUUUUAUUACGUUGUU